AAGUCGUAACAAGGUUUCCGUAGGUGAACCUGCGGAAGGAUCAUUAACACGUAUCCACGUUUAUAACCCGAGAACUCUUAGGUAGUUUCUUCAAGAAAAGGCGUUUUAUCUUCGGAUAAAACACUCUGUCUUCUUUGAGUGGGGACUAUUGAUUAAACUCCUAAGUCUAACACCUCUAACUAUUGGUGGGCUCUUUAAAUCACAUUCGUGUGCUUUAUUAGAACUCACCUUAGUUAGUUGUGUUAACCUUCAGGGACAAAUCUUCGGAUAAGUCCCUGCUGGUUUACUUGAAACCCCUUUUUCUUAUCUAAAAGCCGUCUCUUUGUAGACCGCUUUUAACCGAAUACUGUACAACUCUUAGCAACGGAUAUCUUGGUUCUG
rnacentral:misc_RNA from 1 species